rnacentral:lncRNA from 1 species
CAGAAAUGAAGCCAAGAUAGCAGCAUUGCCCAGUGGAGGGACUAGGGUGCUUGGUCUCCAGGCAGGAUGGUGCCUCUCCUGUAACACUAGCACCUUACAUCCUAAGCACUCAUGUCCUGGCUUUUUUUUUUUUUUUUGCCUUGGUAUGGUUCCCACAGACUCCUGUGUUUAUUUGGCUCCCAGAUGGUAGCACAGUUUUGGAAGAUUGAAGAACCUUUAGGAGGUGAGUCCUUGUUGAAGGAAGUGUUCACUGGAGACAGGUCUUGAGGUUCAAUCACUCAGCCCCUCUUCCUGUCCACUGUUUGUUUUCAGAUUGCAGACUGGAAGUAAUUACCCACUCUUCACUCCUGCUAUUGUUGGGUUCUGAGCAGAAGCUGAGAAAACUCACUUCAGAUCUGGAAGCUUAGAAAAUGAAAGCUAUAUUUUCUGAGCGCUUAGAGAGGCAGCCAUUUCUGGAUCUGAACUGCAUCCCUGAAGGGAGAUUGCACAUUUUUUAAAGGAUGGGAAUACAAAGUGAGCAGGGAGCUGGGAAAGACUGGAGCCCAUAAAUGUUGGACAAGGAGACAAAAGAAAUCUUUUCCUGGGUGUUUCAUCACAGCUGAGAAAAAUGAUCAGGACCAUUGCAAGCUAGAAAGCCAUCAACCG